UACUCGAGUGGCGAACGGGUGAGUAACACGUGGGUGAUCUGCCCUGCACUUCGGGAUAAGCUUGGGAAACUUGGUCUAAUACCGGAUAGGAGCCAUCUUUAGUGUGGUGGUUGGAAAGUUUUUUCGGUGUAGGAUGAGCUCGCGGCCUAUCAGCUUGUUGGUGGGGUAAUGGCCUACCAAGGCGGCGACGGGUAGCCGGCCUGAGAGGGUGUACGGCCACAUUGGGACUGAGGUACGGCCCAC
rnacentral:rRNA from 1 species